rnacentral:rRNA from 1 species
GAUGAACGCUGGCGGCGUGCCUAAUACAUGCAAGUAGAACGCUGAAGCUUGGUGCUUGCACCGAGCGGAUGAGUUGCGAACGGGUGAGUAACGCGUAGGUAACCUGCCUCUUAGCGGGGGAUAACUAUUGGAAACGAUAGCUAAUACCGCAUAAAAGACGAUAUCGCAUGAUAUUGAUUUGAAAGGUGCAAAUGCAUCACUAAGAGAUGGACCUGCGUUGUAUUAGCUAGUUGGUGAGGUAACGGCUCACCAAGGCAACGAUACAUAGCCGACCUAAGAGGGUGAUCGGCCACACUGGGACUGAGACACGGCCCAGACUCCUACGGGAGGCAGCAGUAGGGAAUCUUCGGCAAUGGGGGCAACCCUGACCGAGCAACGCCGCGUGAGUGAAGAAGGUUUUCGGAUCGUAAAGCUCUGUUGUAAGAGAAGAACGAGUGUGAGAGUGGAAAGUUCACACUGUGACGGUAACUUACCAGAAAGGGACGGCUAACUACGUGCCAGCAGCCGCGGUAAUACGUAGGUCCCGAGCGUUAUCCGGAUUUAUUGGGCGUAAAGCGAGCGCAGGCGGUUAGAUAAGUCUGAAGUUAAAGGCUGUGGCUUAACCAUAGUACGCUUUGGAAACUGUUUAACUUGAGUGCAGAAGGGGAGAGUGGAAUUCCAUGUGUAGCGGUGAAAUGCGUAGAUAUAUGGAGGAACACCGGUGGCGAAAGCGGCUCUCUGGUCUGUAACUGACGCUGAGGCUCGAAAGCGUGGGGAGCAAACAGG